CAACAAUUGAGCCAGUGGAUAAUGAACAUUUGCUAAACCAAAUGAUAUUCCAGGGCAAAUCCUCCUCCCGCUACCAAAUGGAAGAUAUUCAUAAUUAUUACUAAUAUAAUCCAUAGAAUUGUGCUCAAAUCUCUCAGGUUUAAAGCUUUCUGCGUCAUCCCAAUAUUUUGGAUCUCUUCCUAUAGCCCAAACAAUAUAAUCCACAGACGUGUGCUCAAAUCUCUCAGGUUGAAAGCUUUCUGCGUCCUCCCAAUAUUUUGGAUCUCUUCCAAUAGCCCAAGCAUUAACAACGAUUUUUGUUUUCAAAGGAAUAGUGUAGCCAUUUAAGUCUGUUUCUUCUCUGCAUUCUCUUGGGAGCAAAAGAGGUAGUGGAGGGUGGAGUCUCAAAGUUUCUUUAAUGACUAACUUUAGGUAUUUGAACUCCUCCACAUCAAUUUCACCAAAAGUUUGUUUCUCUCUAAUGAUUUCUCUUACCUCUGCUUGAGCUUUGGCAAAUACACUUGGAUUCUUCAUCAUUUCGACCAUAGCCCAAUUAAUUGUUGUUGAUGAAGUUUCUGUUCCCGCAGCAAACAAGUCCUUCAUUUUGAGAAAGUUAAAAUAUUCAUUUAUCUUACACAUGCUAUUUGUUUUGUACAAACUUGUUGACAAAUUUCUACUGUUAAAAUAUUCAAAAAAUAGAAUAGAAGGAGUACUUAUAAUGAAGAUAGAAAUAUGCAGUAUAUAGUACUUACAAAAACAAUAGCUUUGAUGUUGUCGUUAGUGAUUGGAAAUUGAAGGCCUCCUUCCUUCAUUAAUUUUUACUGUUAAAAUAGAAUACAAGGAGUACUAAUAACGAAGAUAGAAAUAUGCAGUAUUUUGUACUUACAAAAACAAUAGCUUUGAUGUUGUCGUUAGUGAUUGGAAAUUGAAGGCCUCCUUCCUUCAUAAGUCUUAGCAGUACGUCAAUUAUACCUUCACCAGCUGAUUGACAAUUAUUCUUUGAACUCUUCUUGUGCUCAUUGAUGAUAGUUUCAAGAAUGGCAUCUAAUUCAUGGUGUGUAUCCAUCACUUUAGCCUUCAUUCCAGUAAGCACAUGAAGAAACUUCAAUGAAGGGAAUAUGUCAGCUACCUCAAACCCUUCCAUUAAGCUUGACGCUUUUUUGACUAGUUGUACAAAUUUAUCUUGCUCCUUUUCUUGUCCAAAGGCUGAUCUACAUGUCAUAGAGCUUGUGAAUAGAGCAAUCCUUUUUGUUACAUUAAUCGGCUUACCAGGGGAUGAUCGAAAAAAUUCAAUCAUUCGAUGAACUUCAUCUCGUCUAAUUGAGCUGAAAGACUUGACGUUUUUGGCACUGAGCAAUUCCAAGAUACAAAUUUUACGCAUUUGUCUCCAGUAAUUGCCAUAGGGAGAAAAGACAAUGUCCGUCCCAUUAUAAAAAAAACUCUUGGCAUUUACAAGUAAAGGCCUAGAUGCAAAAGCGAGGUCAUGAGUUUUUAGUACUUCUUUUGCCAUCUCAGCAGAAGAAACUACAACUAAAGACAUUUCUCCUAGUUGAAGAUGCAUAAGGGGACCAUAUUUUCUGGCUAAAUUUCUUAGGACAUGGUGCGGAAUUCCACCUAGCAUAUGAAACAUGCUACCAAGUAAGGGUAAUUUCCAUGGACCUGGAGGUAAUCUCUUGGUUUGGCUACUGGCAUUCUUCCAUUUCUUAAAUAAAAAGAGGAAUGACACAAAAAUGAAAAGGGAAAAGAAGUUGAAGAACUGCAUUUUGGGAGGGUUAAGAGGGGAUUAUUUGGCUUGAUAGGUUCUGCAAACUCUUGUUGCAAAUACAUGCUCUUUUAUAGGCAUUUCGUUUUGGCAAGAAAUGUGAUUUUUCGUUAAAAAAAUGAGAUAUGCAAUUUUUGUCAAUGAAGCUUUUAGUAAGCAAUGAAGCAUUACAAACAACACUAUCAACAGUUACAAAGGGUUUUUUAGCAACUAUUGACUUUUCUGCAUAUACAAAUAAUAUUGCGCGGAUUAUUUUCUUUUCAAACGAAUAUAAGGCAAAAAUACGUAAAUCAUAUCAUGUCAUAUUAUAUCAUAUUAUACUAAAAUUAGGAAGCUUAUAUCAUCAAAUCAUAUUAUACUUAAAGUAGGAAGCUCAUAUCAUCAAAGUUAGUUUAUAAUAUUUGGAAUCCAAAAGCCACUUCUUGAAUUCUCUUAAUUGCACCUCCUCCUUUUCAUUUUCUUUCUCCAAAUUUUCCCAUUAUUUCUCCUCUUUUUCUUUUCCUUUGUAUGAAUUAUGUUUCCCAAUAAUCGUUAUUCUUUAAAUUUCGUUCAUGCAGCUCUGUCAUUUACUUUAUGUUAGUUUACUUCUUUUGCAAUAGUUUUGACUCACAUUUUUAACGUUGGAUGUAUUCUUUAUUGUUAUUAUGUUAUUUGUAUUGUUGAAAUUGUAAUUUUUUUUAUUGUAUAUUGUACAGUCAAAAUUCUUGCUCAAAAUUCCUUCCAUUCUGUUAUGAAGAGAAAAUAGGAAGAAACCUAAGCAGAAAAGAGGAAGAGUAGAUGAAUGAUGCUGGAGAGCAAUGAAUAAGGCUAAUUUUCAGCGACGAGGAGGAUUUUCCACCACCACAGUCCUAAAGCUUAAUUUUCA
rnacentral:lncRNA from 1 species